AUGGAGUUUAUGCUGAGCUGGGUUUUUCUUGCUGCUCUUUUAAAAGGUGUCCAGUGUGAGGUGCAGCUGGUGGAGUCUGGAGGAGGCUUGGUUCAGCCUGGGGGUCCCUGAGACUCUCCUGUGCAGCCUCUGGAUUCACCUUCAGUAACAGUGACAUGAACAGGGUCCGCCAGGCUCCAAGGAAGGGGCUGGAGUGGGUCUCGGGUAUUAGCUGGAAUGGCAGUAGGACACACUAGGUAGACUCCAUGAAGGGCCGAUUCAUCGUCUCCAGAGAUAACACCAGGAAUUUCCUUUACCUGCAAAUGAGCAGCCUGAGACCUGACGACGCGGCCGUGUAUCAUUGUGUGACAAACACUACCACGAGAUACCCAGGCAGAGGGGUUGCCAGCAUCGCAGUCCCAGCCGGUGCGGCUGUUUUGGCCCCCGCGGGGCUGAUUCCGGCCGCGUGGCUGCUGUGA